GCCCAGGUGGUGGAACCGGUAGACACACCAUCUUGAGGGGGUGGCGCCGCGAGGCGUGCGAGUUCGAAUCUCGCCCUGGGCA
rnacentral:tRNA from 1 species